UACGUAGGCGCAAGCGUUGUCCGGAAUUAUUGGGCGUAAAGAGCUCGUAGGCGGUUUGUCGCGUCUGCCGUGAAAGUCCGGGCUCAACUCCGGAUCUGCGGUGGUACGGCAGACUAGAGUGAUGUAGGGGAGACUGGAAUUCCUGGUGUAGCGGUGAAAUGCGCAGAUAUCAGGAGGAACACCGAUGGCGAAGGCAGGUCACUGGGCCGCAACUGACGCUGAGGAGCGAAAGCAUGGGGAGCGAACAGG
rnacentral:rRNA from 1 species